CUAGCUGUAAACGAUGGAUACUAGGCGUUGAGAGUAUCGACCCUCUCAGUGUCGUAGCUAACGCGUUAAGUAUCCCGCCUGGGGAGUACGCGCGCAAGCGUGAAACUCAAAGGAAUUGACGGGGGCCAGCACAAGCGGUGGAGUAUGUGGUUUAAUUCGAUGCAACGCGAAGAACCUUACCAGGGCUUGACAUGUCCGGAACCCUGCCCAAAGGCGGGGGUGCCUACGGGAACCGGAACACAGGUGGUGC
rnacentral:rRNA from 1 species